rnacentral:lncRNA from 1 species
UUCAUAGUCUGUGUCUCCCUUCUCUCCCACAAACAAAACAGACUUCGUCAUGUCAAUUCCCCACCUUAUCGAAAGGUACCUACACAAAAGCCAUUAAGCUUUGUUAUUCUCACCGUGAGAUCAGUAUACACAUAUCGUACAUGGUCUGGACAGUAUACUAAACCUGACUGCUUGCAAUCUUGAUGCACAUAGUGGUAUAACAUUUAUCCUUGUCGCAGCAUGUGUAUAGACAAUGUUGCACCUUAAACCUCUCAUCCGAAGCCUCUGCCUAAGGUCAUCAACUCUUCGAGUCUGCCAUUCACACACGUAGACUUUUAAUAUGUUUUUAAGCUGAGAAAUAUGUUUUUUAUUUUUUAUAGAAAAGAAAUGUUACCUCGACUCCUUGUUUGACAGAAAUUGCAUAGCACCUAGUACUGCAUGCGCUUGUAUACUCUGUGAUAUCGUCUUCUGUUUCAGGUUCUGUACAAGCUAGUCUCAGAAUCACUGACCUUAGACUUUCACCAGGCCAUUUGUAUUCCACAUGAGCUUCAUAGUCUGCAUCAACCUCCAUAUCUCUCCAUGGAUAGUAGAUCUCACUUCCGCUGUUACAAACUAUUGCGUCAAAUUCUUCCAAAUUAAUAAGGUAUUUCUUUGUCAUCUCCACAACUUCUUGCACGCUUGAACCUGUUGCCAGGACGAAGCCUAUUUUUCCUUUGCCCGAUGUCAAACCUGCAGUUUUCAUCACAUUCUUGAUGACAUCUUCCAAAUUCGCUUUGGUGUCUCCGUUGUCAUCGUAGGAAUCAACAGUAAUCACAAAGAGCAUCUGCCUUCUGCCAGGGCUGUAGAGAGCAGAUGGGCCACCCUUCAUAGAAUUCAUUUGACUUAUGGCGUUGACA